AUUGAACGCUGGCGGCAUGCUUUACACAUGCAAGUCGAACGGUAACAGGCCUUCGGGUGCUGACGAGUGGCGAACGGGUGAGUAAUGCAUCGGAACGUACCCAGAGGUGGGGGAUAACGCAGCGAAAGCUGUGCUAAUACCGCAUGUGAUCUGAGGAUGAAAGCGGGGGACCGAGCAGCAAUGUUUGGCCUCGCGCCUUUGGAGCGGCCGAUGUCGGAUUAGCUAGUUGGUGGGGUAAAGGCCUACCAAGGCGACGAUCCGUAGCUGGUCUGAGAGGACGACCAGCAACACUGGGACUGAGACACGGCCCAGACUCCUACGGGAGGCAGCAGUGGGGAAUUUUGGACAAUGGGCGCAAGCCUGAUCCAGCAAUGCCGCGUGCGGGAAGAAGGCCUUCGGGUUGUAAACCGCUUUUGGCAGGAACGAAACGGUGUCCGCUAAUACCGGGCGCUAAUGACGGUACCUGCAGAAUAAGCACCGGCUAACUACGUG
rnacentral:rRNA from 1 species